UUGCGAUCCACCAAGGCAACAAGAAGCCCGAUAUUCAUAAGUCCGAUACCGAAGUCUUCCGAUACCCUUCUAAAAUAGACAUGGUCACGUGGUGGUCCCUUCAAGAGUUUACCCUCGCCGUUUUAUUUUUUGAAUUAUUAUUACAAACUACAAAAGUCUUCGUCAAUGGCCACUCCCAACCACAGAUCAGGAACCCUAUGGUCCUAAUUUAUCAUGUCUCUUGCUCAGACCACAAACUAAACAUUACAGACAUAAGCUUUCACUUUGCAGUAGAUAGAGAUGGAUCCUGAUCAUUUUGGUAAUCGAGAGACGGAAUUGGGUGACUUGAUGGAGGGGUUUGGGAGCUAUGAAUUUAGCUGUUCAAAAAACUACGAUGAACUGAACGUGCCGUUCGAUUACCAAUUCCAGUCACAAAUUGAUGAUCUGGGGGGAACAAGCAAUAGAGUACUCCAGACAGACAAUCCACGCGACAGAAAAAAAAGAAAUGACAAGGAAUAUCGAGCCCGUUGUAGGGAAGCCCAGAAAAGACAGGAGGAGGAGUUGGAGAAACUAGCGGUAGAAAAUGAACGCAUGAAGAACGAAAAUGAAUCCCUGGUGAAGGAAAGGGUUACAGUUUUGAGUCCGAAGUUGGAAUCAGCAGCCAUUGAGAUAAAUCGACUUAGAAGUGAAAGUCAGAGUUUGAAACGCAGCAGCGACAACCAAAUAAUUCUUGUGCAUGCUUUAACUUAAAAACUGGAUAGCCAAAAUAAACUUAGAAGCCUCCAUGAUGAGGUUGCACGAUUGAGACAAAACGUCCCCCAGGAUCCCAGGAUGCAAGAAAAGAAAAAACUCAUGGAAGAGCUUUUGAGGUUAGAAAACGAAAACAAGCUGCUAGAACUGCAAAAUCAAGCGUAUUGCAUGAUGAUACAAAAUGACGGGGACCCUAGAGGGGAUGAAGCUGAUCAAGCAUCGCCUGCAGGGUUGCUGUGAUUAUAUUGCUGAGUAGUGCAUUAAGUUAGGCUCCUCUACUAAAUCAUGACUUCUCAAGCUUUUCAUCACGUUUGAACCCUUUGAGAGGGAGAUGGAUCUACUGCGGCAGAACAAUCAUAUAUCUCCUGUGCUGUGUUCGUGUCUGGUUUAAUUUACUAUGCUAUCGGAAUAAAUGCCAGCGCCUCAUUUAAUUCGUUUGGCUUGUCUACCUUAGUUAUGCACUUGUAGCUACUGUCUCUUGAAUCACUAUACUGGAAACUCGUCGAAAAUACCCAACACUGAUGUCUGCCUUGUGAUGUUCAAUGACAAGAGGAUUAUACCUGGUUUAUCAACCAACCUAGAAGAUUA